ensembl:snoRNA
CACAGAGUGAAAAAUGAUGAUAUUCCUUCUGUAUCCUAUUACAGUGAGGACCUCAGAUCCAACUCUGAUUUCACUCAAAU